GCAGAAAUACUGCUGUAUCCUGCCAGAUAGAAAGUCAGGACUGAGGCGCUGGCUGAUGAGGUUGAGGAGCAGGGACAUUUAUUCAGAGUCGCAGUGCACGCUGUGUGCUGAAUCAGAAG